CAAAAGGUAGUUUAAUAAAAGAUUCCGGUUUUGGGGGCCGGGGAUGAAGGCUUAGAUCCUUCUCUUUUGA
rnacentral:tRNA from 1 species